GUUUUUAAGCAUUAUCAAGUGUGUCCAAAGCGUUCAAAUUUGUUUUCAUAGAUUCAGUAACUUUUUGGAUUAAUUUGAUUGGUUUAUAUGAAAUUUAUUAUGUAAUUGAAACUGCAAUACACUGGUCAUAUACAAGCUUUCAAGCAAAGAUAGCUGAAGCUUAUUAAAGAUUAUUUCUGCUCAUGGGGGACAGAAAUGCCCAGGUGUACUGAGUAUGGCAUACGUGCUUUGCAUCUCCCAGCUAUCAAGUUAGUAACUCUUGUUUGGAAUUGAGAUGGUCAUUUAAUCCUUUCACAGACGUAGCUUGGUGUGACAUAGUUAAGUGGACAAAGAUAGGAGAGCAACUCCUGUUCUGUGGUGUCCCCAGUACGGUGCAUUAACUCUCUAUACCAGUCAGAGCCAAAAAAUUUCCUGAUGAACGUAACUUUUGUUUUGAAACCCAGACUGUAUUAGCUCAGAGGAAAAUAGGAGUAGUCACAUUAUACUUUCCUUAAACUGAAAUGCACGUGAUAUGAUUCUAGACUGUUCAUACUGGCAACCCUUGGUCAUUCCUGUUUAAAAUGUGUUGCCUGGAACAGUUUGCUUUGAUGGGUGCAGCAUAUGGUCCCUUUCACAUGCUUUCCCUGAUCCCAUGUCAUUCCUAUGCCAGGUGAACUGGUCCUUCAUCUUAUGCCUAUAAAUUUUGUUCAUAACCAGUAAUGCUAAUCACAUAGUUACUCAUCUCUUCCUGUGAUGUGGGUUCAGAUCUGUAUGUGUAAUCAGUUAUGUUUUAUGUUUUGCUGGGUCUGCCAUGAUAUCACAGAUGUAUGGAUGGCUGAAAAAACCAGAAAUUUACUUUCUUACAGUUCAGGAGGCCAGACAGCAAAGAUCAAGCUGUUGGCAGAUUGGUUACUUCUGUGGCACCUCUCCUUGGCAUGUAGAUAUCUGACCUUUGGCUGUGUUUUCACAAGGUCAUCUACUGCCCAUAGUUCUUCAUUUUUGUAUAUGAAGAAUAGUAGGAAGAUUGCUACCGCUCCAGGAAAUAAAAUAAGAAAAAAAAAGUUUCUCAGUCCCGUUUGCUGA
rnacentral:lncRNA from 1 species